rnacentral:rRNA from 1 species
CCGGCACGGGUGAGUAACACGUAUGCAACCUGGCCGUCACAGGUGGAUAACCGGAAGAAUUCCGACUAAUACAGCAUAACACUCCUGAGGGACAUCCUUCGGGAGUCAAAGGAGGCAACUCCGGUGACGGAUGGGCAUGCGGCGCAUUAGGUAUUGGUAGGGUAACGGCCUACCAAGCCGACGAUGCGUAGGGGUUCUGAGAGGAAGGUCCCCCACAUUGGAACUGAGACACGGUCCAAACCCCUACGGAAGGCAGCAG